rnacentral:lncRNA from 1 species
UUUUCAUCACCAUGCAUUUCAGUGCUGUGUGAGAUGGGUGGAGCUAGGGAAAGCCUUCAUGGAAAGGGUUUCAUCUUUCUGAACAUUCACCACACUGGUGGACAAAUCCUUUUUGUGUGAGGAAGAUGUGGCUGUUGGGAGAGUCAAGUAAUUGAAUGACGUGAAUUUCCUGGAGUUUCCAUAAGUUCCUGUAAAUUUAGCCUCCAACUGAAAUAAACCAACUGAAUGUAAGACAUCAGACCCUAAAGAACCAAAGUUGUUAUUUCUGUGGAAGACCAGCCAACCUAUUCUCACAGCUGAAACAAUGGAUCUGGCCUGCAGAGUGUUAAGGCAUUCUCCAAGUUUCAAAACAAGAGUACACCAUUUUGAAGGCCUAUAAAUAGAAAGAAUUUUUCAAAUAUUAAUUCAGUAAUGACCUCUGUCUUUGGAAAAGAUAAUUGCAAUGUGUUACUGCGAACCAAUUUAAACCUGUAUUUCUCAUUGCAUUUAAUAUUUAAUUUUGUUUUUUAUCAUUAUAUAUCAACAGUUCUUUCUGGAGCAAAGCAAUCCUAUUUGACUUUUUUUUUUUUUAACCUUAUAGUGCACACACACAUGUAUGUGUAGGGUUAUUUAAACAAGGAAACAUUUACAUCAAAAUGUGCAAAGAGUUAUCCUGGAAUAGAAAUGCUGAAAAUAUAUUUUCAAGAAGUUUUAAAAUUCUAGGCUGGCCUCAAUGUAUUCAGUAGCAUGCCAGAAACAGAAAAAAAAAUUUAAUCUCUCCAUUUGCUUAUUCCUAUUAACAUAUAUAGAAAAAAAACUUGCUCUAAACCUAAUGCCUAUGCGAUAUGUUUGUUUCCUGAUGCUGAUGAUAAAUCAUAACCGGGCACUUGGUUAUAUUUUUUAAUGUUCUACAUUUCUAGCACUGCUACUGUAUUCACAAUGAGCUUUAUAUCUGACAGUAAUUUUAUUUUCAGGUUCAGUCAUAUGAUGCCUUUCUAUAGGAAUAGGUUCUAUCACAGGAACAAAUUAUUCAAAUCUAGUUUAACGGACUCAGCAAUUCUCCUCAGUUUUAUCUUGGGCAUUUUGUAUUCCUUUGCCUAAACCUAGUGGCUAUGUAACAAUUCAAUUACCAAAGUCCUUCAUCCAGAAAGUGCUGUUGAUUUCCAGUAAUUCUUAUUCUGUUUGAUUUCUUUUUUUUUUCCUCCUAGUUUAACACAUGCCAGUUGGUGUCGACUGAGUUAAAAAUCUUGAAAUAAGCCUGGCACUGUGUCAGUACAUAGGUUAAAAAAUGAAACAAAAAAAUUUAAUAAAAUAUACGCUAGAAAUGGAAAAUAAGAUUAGCAGUGGCAUUUCUUGUCAUAAGGACAUUUUCUGUCUAUGCACACAAAAUAAAACCAGCUCAGUGUAGCUGAAGAAGAGAGGAAAGAGAGAGGUGGUAUAAAUUGAAAGACGAAAAGGCAGAGACUGAGUGUACAGAAGCGCGUUGAGAGCAUGCAGUCAGCUGGCAAGAAAAGGCAACUCGAAGAGCCUCAGAAGGUAAAACCUCAGUUGGCAGAUAAAGUGGGUAAGAAGCAAGUUUUGAAAUAAAAUAGCAAUAGCAUAAGCAACUUGAAGGAAGAUGAAAAGAGCAAGGUGAUAAAAGUAUGCAAGAGUCUUUGGAGAUUAUUAGUAAUUUUAGGGAAUUACAAUGAUGAAAAGUUAUAAGGGAAAAAGACUUUACAUAUUCUUUAAUAAAAGAAAAUUACCUGUCAAAAUCUGUCUGCAUAGACACUAGUAUUAGAUUCUUGUUCUUCAAGAAAAAGGCAUGUCUGCUGGUCAGGCUGAGGUAUCAUCUAUCCUCUAUUUCUCUAAAUAAUGUUUUUC